rnacentral:rRNA from 1 species
UACAGAGGUCUCAAGCGUUGUUCGGAUUCAUUGGGCGUAAAGGGUGCGUAGGCGGCGUGGUAAGUCGGGUGUGAAAUCUCGGAGCUUAACUCCGAAACUGCAUUCGAUACUGCCGUGCUUGAGGACUGGAGAGGAGACUGGAAAUUUACGGUGUAGCGGUGAAAUGCGUAGAUAUCGUAAGGAAGACCAGUGGCGAAGGCGGG